rnacentral:rRNA from 1 species
ACACGACUCUCGGAAAUGUAUAUCUAGGCUCUCGCAUCGAUGAAGAACGUAGCAAAAUGCGAUACUUGGUGUGAAUUGCAGAAUCCCGUGAAUCAUCGAGUUUUUGAACGCAAGUUGCGCCCGAAGCCAUCCGGCCGAGGGCACGUCUGCCUGGGCGUCACGCAUCUCGUCGCCACCCCCUCCUCCCCGUCCUC